UCUAGAAACCCUCUACUGAAACCAUCGGAGAACAAUCAUGAUUCUCUAUCAGUCAUUAGAGAAGAGCACAGAAAAACCCUUUGCAUCUACUAAAAUCAAGUAAAUCAAAUCAAUCUAUUCUCUCAACAGAUCUAUUCGAGGUCGUCUUUUUCGUCUUCGAAGUUAACAACUUAUCUGCAAUCGGUCGAUGAUGGUAUUAUUGGAGGUGUUCCUGGUGGCUAUGUCCUAACAAUUAAAAAUUUGUACCGGUCUGUUGGUUUGUCUUAUGCUCGCUGGAGCUUGGUUGGGUUAUUGGGUGGUACCUAAACAUGUUCUAACACAAGAAGGAUCCAGUGAUUCAAGUACAGCUGUUUUCGUCGCUUGGUCAAUUCGCAGCUGUCAUGAUUAUUCAGCUAUAACAUUAAAUAGUUGGCAUCUAAUGGUUACAAUAAGCACACUUCAUGUGGCACGAAGAUUCAAUGUUUUUGAGACCAAGGCAAUUGAUACCGAAACUGUAAUGCUUUGGUAUCCUAAAUGGCGUGUCUACUGGCCUUCUCAAUUUAUGUCUUGGGUUCAGUUCCACUGGAUUCUACCAGGUUAACUAUUUUGAUUUUAUCUUAUGAUCAUUUGAAUAUAGGAUCUGAUUACUUUAGUUUGGUUGUAGUCGUGAAAGCUUAAUCCAGAUGAAAUGAUUUUUCUGUGAAGAUGAUGAAACUUGCAGUAAUACCCUUACUGUAUUGUCGGAGACCCUGUUCCUUAACAAGGUGAGUUUAUCUGUUGUUCAAGUUUGUAUAAGCAAUUGUAUUUGUUUUGUCAAUGUAUUACUUAAACUCUGUCUCAGCCAUGGACUAUCAAAGUUCAUACUUUUGUAAUC